AUUGAACGCUGGCGGCAGGCCUAACACAUGCAAGUCGAGCGGAUGAAGGGAGCUUGCUCCUGGAUUCAGCGGCGGACGGGUGAGUAAUGCCUAGGAAUCUGCCUGGUAGUGGGGGAUAACGUCCGGAGACGGGCGCUAAUACCGCAUACGUCCUGAGGGAGAAAGUGGGGGAUCUUCGGACCUCACGCUAUCAGAUGAGCCUAGGUCGGAUUAGCUAGUUGGUGGGGUAAAGGCCUACCAAGGCGACGAUCCGUAACUGGUCUGAGAGGAUGAUCAGCUACACUGGAACUGAGACACGGUCCAGGCUCCUACGGGAGGCAGCAGUGGGGAAUAUUGGACAAUGGGCGAAAGCCUGAUACAGCCAUGCCGCGUGUGUGAAGAAGGUCUUCGGAUUGUAAAGCCCUUUAAGUUGGGAGGAAGGGCAGUAAGUUAAUACCUUGCUGUUUUGACGUUACCAACAGAAUAAGCACCGGCUAACUUCGUG
rnacentral:rRNA from 1 species